rnacentral:rRNA from 1 species
GACGAACGCUGGCGGCGUGCCUAAUACAUGCAAGUCGAACGAAGCUUUUUUAACUGGUGCUUGCACCGACUUAAACAACCGAGUGGCGAACGGGUGAGUAACACGUGGGUAACCUGCCCCAAAGCGGGGGAUAACAUUUGGAAACAGAUGCUAAUACCGCAUAACCACAGAAACCACAUGGUUUCUGUGUCAAAGAUGGUUUCGGCUAUCACUUUGGGAUGGACCGUCGGCGUAUUAGCUAGUUGGUAAGGUAAUGGCUUACCAAGGCAAUGAUACGUAGCCGAACUGAGAGGUUGAUCGGCCACAUUGGGACUGAGACACGGCCCAAACUCCUACGGGAGGCAGCAGUAGGGAAUCUUCCACAAUGGACGAAAGUCUGAUGGAGCAACGCCGCGUGAGUGAAGAAGGUUUUCGGAUCGUAAAACUCUGUUGUCAGAGAAGAACGUGUGCGAGAGUAACUGUUCGUGCAGUGACGGUAUCUGGCCAGAAAGCCACGGCUAACUACGUGCCAGCAGCCGCCGCAG